GCCGGUGUAGCUCAGUUGGUAGAGCAACGCAUUCGUAAUGCGUGGGUCAGCGGUUCGAAUCCGUUCACCGGCACCA
rnacentral:tRNA from 1 species